UACGAAGGUGGCAAGCGUUGUUCGGAUUUACUGGGCGUAAAGGGCUUGUAGGCGGUUUGUUAAGUCUGGUGUGAAAUCUCCCGGCUCAACCGGGAGGGGUCAUCGGAUACUGGCAGACUUGAGACGGGUAGAGGAAAGCAGAAUUCCCGGUGUAGCGGUGAAAUGCGUAGAUAUCGGGAGGAAUACCAGUGGCGAAGGCGGCUUUCUGGGCCUGUUCUGACGCUGAGGAGCGAAAGCGUGGGGAGCAAACCGG
rnacentral:rRNA from 1 species